CCCCAAACGAGGGACGAAUCCAAAGGGUUGGUUAACGUUACCAUUUGUAGGCUGAAAAGACAUAGAGAACGUAAAGAUCUGUGGAUUCCAAAUCUGCAUCUGGAGUGGAUGGUGAUGGAGGACUUCCGCAGAUAGGUAUGCGUUUAGGGCUUGAUGCCUUUGGAAUAUAGGAGCUGGAAACCAGGGACUCCCCCUUAGUAAACAUGGUUGAAGCAAGAGGCAGAGGCUGAGCCUGGGUUGGUAUGAAGACAGGAUGUGAGUUAUAGGUGAUGUUAGAGGCUUUACAGAGAGGAGGGAGAAUGGAGAGAAAAGCCUUGGUUAUCUCUGCAAUCUGAAUAACGGGAGGUAGUGGCUAUUGAUGAGACAUGAAGUGUGGCUAAGCAUCUAUCCUAUCACUAGUACUAGAAUAGUCACAAGAUCUUGGGGUCCUCGUGGCUCUGGAGGGACAUGAACGUUGUAGGGCAUGAUAAUGAUUUGAGUUUUAUCACAUGCUUCUCAAGUGGGAGGGCUGGGAUCUCACCAAGGCUAGAGGCCUGAUGCCCUAAUAUGUCAGUAGAAGAUACUUCAGGUGUGAUAUUUGAGAUUUUGGCAGGAAAGGGCUCUUGAUUUUCAGUGUAAAAUAGAUUUCAAGGCUUAGCCUUGAGCUCUGGCUCUGUAAAUUCUGUUUUGAGAUACAUUGGCUCUCAUCCUAAGUAUUUUGCACAUAAUUAUAGAACAAAUUAUGCUUUUACCUAUGCCCCUUUUCAUUUCUCUAUUUCCCUCCCCUUCUUACUCUGCUUGGGAGGAGUUGAAAUCAACUUUAUAGUAGUGCCCCACCUACUGCGGUUUGCUCAUGACUCCAUGGCACUGGAGAGAACCAAAGGACUUUUUGGGUGUUAGUGAUACCUAGAAAUGAGCAUAUGGCAUGUUUUAGAAACUUGGUUUUGGUUGUGUAGAAAGAAGAAAUCUCUCAAAAUCCAGAAGUAGGACAAAGUGCAAACUAAAGAUAGGUAGGGAAGAAGAUAACCUAAUAAUUAGCAGGUGCUGUCAGUGGAAGAAGUAUCUCUAGGUUCAAAGAGAAUGAAUUGUUAUGGGCCCUGGCCGACUCUGGAGUAGCAGCUGCUAGCACUGUGCGGUCACCAAGCAGGGGAGGGGCUGUGGCUGUGCUAUAAAUAGUUCUGGGAGCCAGAGUCGCCAUGGAGACAAACCCGAAUCCUAUUACCUGCAGGUCCUCUAUUGGGAGCAACAGAAGGGAGGGAGCAGAAUUUUGAGGAUUUGAGAGGUAUUGCAGAGCGGUCUAUUUAUUAUUAAGUAGGGAAGAAAAAAGAUAGAGCUUCUCAUUAUCUAAAUCAAAUAGAAUCUUAAGCAUACAGGGAGUGUGCAUGUCUAUGUAUGGAAGUGCACACAGCAGCAGAAAAAAGAGUGGUGUGUGUGUAGUGUAAUGAGAAUGUCUGUGUAUACAGUAAAGAAGGUCCUAGUGUGGCCAUGUGUGGAGCACAGAGGUACACUUCUGUAUGCACCGAGGAUAGCUUGUAGUGGAGUGAACCAUUUUAUUUAGAGAAGUGUAUGGGCACCCAACAGGAUUUAGAUUAUAAUUAAGACCACGUAAGCUUUUCCUAACUUUUGGUCUAUGGUUUAGAAAUUACUGAGCACCUCUUCCUGUCCUUGCAGAAAUCCUAUUAUUUCUGCAUCUAAUUCUUAAUUUCUAUUAGAGAUAGAAGGACAAAGUCUCAUCUGUGUGUUUUGUAUCACUGAUUCCAAUCUUGGGACUAGAGUAGAGGAAAAAAAAAAAAAAAAAAGACUAUGAUUCAGCACCAAGGGCAGAGCUAGUAGCGGUAGCCAGUGAGCCCCUUUCUUGCUUGAAGAGGGAAGAAAAAUGGUUUAGAUGGAGCAGUUGGAGCAUGGAUAUUCCCCAUGUGAGAUUGCACAGGGUACAGUAGCCCACUGUUGUUGUCUCAGUGCAUUAAGUAUACAAUUUAUAUGGUAGUUUCCCAUGAAGCUGAAUGCAGCAUGUUGGUUCAGGAAAUAAUUAGGUUUUCAUAUAGAGCUAGGAGUAUAGAUUAGUACUGAUUAGAGUCUGGUUUGAUACUGAUUCAGCCUGGAGCUGUCCUAGAAGUGACUUAGUUUUUAUUAUCAUAAUGACAGUCCUGUUUAGACUAACUGGCUCUAUUUUUUAGAAACAGAGCACCAGGAGUGAGGCUGGAAAUGGGCUGGUUUGUGGGGAUGGGGAAGUGAGCCAUUAUUUAUCCUACUUUUUAAAAAUUUAUUUAUUUUGAAAGAGAGCGCACGUGCAUGUAAGCAUGAGCAGGGGAGGGGAAGAGAGAGAGGGGGGAAGAGAGAGAGAGAAUUUCAAGCAGGCUCCACAUGACCUAAACAGAAAUCCAGAGUUGGAUGCUUAACUGACCGAGCCACCCAGGCAUCCCUCUCCUACUUCUUGACAUUUGGCCCUGUGAGUUCAAAAGCUUAGACCAAGCUCUAGGCUAGGAAAAGUGUCAUGUUUCCCCAUCUUUACUACUGAAAUGGAAGGUCUUCUGACCUAUGACCCUGGCUGGAAUGAAGCUGAGAGAGAUGAGUCCCUUACACCCAGCAGUGGAUCUUAUCAGUACUUUUUUUCCUAUUGGACUUGAAUUUUCAGAUAAUAUCAGAAAUCCUCCUGGGAACAUUGACUCCUUGUGCGGUGCCUUGAAGUUUCUCUGAGAUGAACUGAUGAAUUGGAAUCAUGGUGCAAAAGAAGAAGUUCUGUCCUCGGUUACUUGACUAUCUAGUGAUCGUAGGGGCCAGGUAACCAAGAAGAGACUGGUUUUUGUCUUGUCUUUUGGGAUAACCACAACAUCUGUAAUUAUUCCCUUUCCCCAUGCCCACAUUGCUUUGCAUAUCUCAUUCUUUCUCUAUUAUUUACCCUCAUAGGAACAUUGAUGCCAUUAGUGAAAAUAGCAGUCAGGUGGAUUGAGAGCAUUGGCCCAAAGGAACAGAGACAGAACAGAAUUGCUCUUAUCUAGCAUCUUUGUGUUCUUGGGCAAAUAUACCCUGUAUACUUCAGUUUCCUUAUUUUGUAAAAAAAAAAAAAAAAGUACCCUGUGCUCUUUCUCAACCUACAUAUGCUCUUUUGGUAAUUCAUUAGCUAAUACACCUUUUAAAAGUGCUAAUCAUCUUAAUGCAUUAGUGAUAAUUCUAUUGCUGCGAUUUUCCUUGCAUUUCAGGAUGGGUAUCUUCAUGACACUGCAGACCUCAUUUAGCCCCCCAGCUAAAUGUGGCAAGCAGCACCCAAGUUUUCCAAGGUUGUGCAGUUAGGUUACUUUAUCCAAAGUAGCAUUUUGAGCUUUAUUUCUGGACUGUGGUUAAAAUUUGAAACAACAUUCUAUCCCUCCAGGCUGCUGAAUUUGUCUUUAUAUUCUUCAGGCACCCGAGCAGUGAUAGUGUGGCCCAGACUCCCGAAUUGCUACGGCGAUACCCGCUGGAGGACCACGCUGAGUUUCCCCUGCCCCCAGACGUUGUGUUUUUCUGCCAACCAGAGGGCUGUCUGAGUGUGAGGCAGCGACGCAUGAGCCUGCGGGAUGACACUUCUUUCGUCUUCACCCUCACUGACAAGGACACUGGAGUCACGCGUUAUGGCAUCUGUGUUAACUUCUACCGCUCCUUCCAGAAGCGAAUGCCUAAGGAGAAGGGGGAAGGUGGGGGAGGGUCCCGUGGGAAGGAAGGACCCCGUGCCACUUGUGCCUCAGAAGAAGUUGGUACUGAGAGCUCGGAGAGUGGCUUGUCCCUGCAGCCUCCCAAUGCUGACUCUGCCCCUGAGGUGAAUCAGUCUCCUCGGGGCAAACCCCGGGCCAAGGCAGGAAGCCGUUCCCGCAACAGUACUCUGACAUCCUUGUGUGUGCUCAGCCACUACCCCUUCUUCUCCACCUUCCGAGAAUGUCUGUACACCCUCAAACGUCUGGUGGACUGCUGCAGUGAGCGGUUGCUGGGCAAGAAACUAGGCAUCCCUCGAGGCAUACAAAGGUACACUUUGCCACUGAUGGUCAGAAGAGAGGGAAGCAGUUAGAGAUGAGGUAUAAUUGGUGUGUGAGGGGCAGGAAAUUGCCUCUAAAGCCUGAGGUCCUUCAGAUAGCUAGAAUGAAGUGUUGUCUUAUAUCCUGUUGUAUAUUUAAGAAUAAACUUUUGUUUAAAAAAAAAAAAGCCUGAGGUCUUUCAUACCUAUUUAAGCAUUUUUGUGUUAGUCCUUUCUAAGCGAAAGACAGCUGCAAAGUUAAACUUCCUGCCAUAAUAAUGUUUGGAGUUCAACAUUUCAUGGCAGGCGGGACAGUAAGUCCUGCUGUGUAUACAUUUUUAUACUUGUUUCACCCUUGUAUAUUCUCUCUGGUCCUAGCUGAGCCCAAAGGGUGGGCUUUUCCAGUUGUCAGCAUUUUACUCUCUAUGGUUGCAUUGGGUUGCUUUGGGGUAUCAGCUCCUGGUGCUUACGCAUCUGUUUCCUGCUGUCUGUUCCUCAGGGACACUAUGUGGCGCAUCUUUACUGGAUCAUUGCUAGUGGAGGAGAAGUCAAGUGCCCUUCUGCAUGACCUUCGAGAGAUUGAGGCCUGGAUCUAUCGAUUGCUGCGCUCCCCAGUGCCUGUUUCUGGGCAGAAGCGAGUAGACAUUGAAGUCCUACCCCAGGAGCUCCAACAAGCUCUGACCUUUGCUCUUCCAGACCCUUCUCGAUUCACCCUAGUGGAUUUCCCACUGCACCUUCCCUUGGAACUUCUGGGUGUGGAUGCCUGUCUUCAGGUGCUAACCUGCAUCCUGUUAGAGCACAAGGUGAGAGAGCCAGCUUUUUAGAUCUUUAAGGACAGGGACUACAUCUUUUUUAUCUUUUUGUCUCUAGGAGGUAACAUGGUGCCAGGUAUACGGCAGUACUCAGUAGAUGUGGGUUGAAUUAAGUGGGAUGUGUUCAGAGGGUUUGCCACUCAGGUGAAUUAUCCUUAGCUAGACUGAACUAAUUCUCUGGAAGUAUCAGUAGUUCUAGUCUAAUGAGUGGUCCUGGCAUUGGGCGAACAAGAGCCAGAAAAGUAAGGCAUGAGGCAGGGAUAAUUGUGGAAGCCAUGCUCAUGGAGCCCUACACAUGGUGAAAUGGAAAUUAAAUUGUAGCAUUGGAAACUUUCCCCAUAAACCUUAUUUAGGCCGUUGAAUGAUCCUUACGGUAUGGCUUGUGGCAGGUGGUGCUACAGUCCCGAGACUACAAUGCCCUUUCCAUGUCUGUGAUGGCGUUUGUGGCGAUGAUCUACCCAUUGGAGUAUAUGUUUCCUGUAAUCCCACUGUUGCCCACCUGCAUGGCAUCGGCAGAACAGGUGAGUUUCAGGUGUUUUCUGGCUUUGUCACCUCUGUCUUCCAACUCUGGCCAGCUCUGAGGGAGAACACCUGAUGCCAAGAAGUUGUAAAUCAGUACCGGUCUUCAAUCCUUUACUCUAACUUCUUUGUCUGCAAAACAUGACCUAACUUUGAACUGAUUUGAUGGCAAAACUUGUGUUAUUUGUGGUUUUUAUUUAUCAAAGUAAAUGUUAAUCAUUAUAGGUUACUGGCCAUGCUCCUGCAGGUGUUACAUAAUAUACAGAAUAUACACUGUUGCCUUUCUAAAAUCUGAAAAAUUAUGAAUACUAAAACACACCUAGCCUCAAGAGUUUUGGAAAAGAGAUUAUGGACCUGCAUUUCCUCAUCAAGAAAAAUCCUCGUGUGAUAAGUGAUCGAAAUAUGUUUAGUUUUUGUUUCUUACCCUCUUAUUUUUUUUCUACAGCUACUGUUAGCUCCAACUCCGUACAUCAUUGGGGUCCCUGCCAGCUUCUUCCUCUACAAACUGGACUUCAAAAUGCCUGAUGAUGUAUGGCUGGUGGAUCUGGACAGCAAUAGGGUGAGGUUCUUGGCUGAGAUAUUAUAGAGUCCAGAAUAGGAUUGUGUUCUGUUUUUCUAGAUUAUUCCCAAGAAGGUCCUCAGUUGGUGGGUGAUUUGUCUUGUGUGACUCAUUGAUACCAUUUUUUUUUUAAUGCUUAGCUUUUACUUUAUUGGCUAAUAGGCCCUUGGUUAAGACCCAAAUGAGUACAAGAUUUAGUUUUGCCAGAAUGAAGUGCUCCCCCGCAUCUAGAAGCAGUAGGCAGUUGUGGUUGUGGGACCACUGCCUAUGGUGUAGGUCAUCUCAUGGUUUUCUUGGGUAUGGUUUCUAGUAAGACAGUGCCUUUCAGGCUUAAAAUGUACAGUAAUAUUCUGUAGUGUGAAUAUACUCAAAUUUCAGCAGGAAGCCCUUAUAUCUAUUUAUAGUAAAAGUUUAGAAAAUACAAAUAAGUGUAAAGAAAUAAAUAAAAACCAGGGGCAUCUGAGUGGCUGUCGGGUAAGGGUCCAACUCUUGAUUUUGGCUCAGGUGAUGAUCUCAUGGUUCAUGGGUUUGAGCCCUGCUUUGGGCUUCAUGCUAACAUUGUGGAGUCUGCUUGGAAUAUUCUCUCUCUCUCUCUCUCUGACUCUUCCCCUCCCACACGUGCACACUCGCUCUCUCAAAAUAAACUUUGAAAAAAAAAAAAAAGAAAAAACAUAGUCCUAUUGUCUGGACGUAGUCUCCAGUAACAUUGAGGUAUAUUUCUUUUCAGGUGUGUAUGUAUAUCACAGCCGUGUAUAUGUGUGCCCCUAAUACACGUGUAUAUGUAAUAUAUUUGUAUGCAUAAUAUACAUGUUCACAUAUAUGUGAAAAUACUGUGUAUACAACUUCCACUUAACCCUUACGUAAGAGUAACUCCUGAGCGAUUAAUUCUAAGGUUGUGCCUUUUGUCUUUUUUCUGGUGCAGGUGAUUGCCCCCACCAAUGCAGAAGUGCUACCAAUCCUGCCAGAACCGGAAUCAUUGGAGCUGAAAAAGCA
rnacentral:lncRNA from 1 species